AUGUACUUAGCCAGUGCUACAAGACCUGACAUCUCUUUUGCUAUUAGCAAACUAAGUCGAUUUGUUUCAAAACCAGGAGAUGUGCAUUGGAAAGCUCUAGAGAGAGUUUUGCGUUAUUUGGAAGGCACUGCGAAUUAUGGAAUUCACUACACUGGGCACCCAAAGGUGCUUGAAGGGUAUAGUGACUCAAACUGGAUCUCAGAUGCUGAUGAGAUAAAGGCCACGAGCGGUUAUGUAUUCACUCAUGGAGGUGGCGUUGUUUCUUGGAAGUCUUGCAAGCAGACCAUCUUAACGAGGUCAACAAUGGAAGCAGAACUCACAACACUAGAUACAGCUACAGUCGAAGCAGACUGGCUUCGUCGGCUCUUGAAUGACUUGCCGGUAGUUGAGAAACCUGUACCGGGUAUCCUUACGAACUGUGACAAUCAAACUGUGAUCACUAAAGUGAACAGCUCAAAGGAUAACAUGAAGUCAUCAAGACACGUUCAGAGAAGGUUAAAGUUUGUCAGAAAAAUGAAAAACUGCGGAGUUAUUGCAUUGGACUAUAUC
rnacentral:rRNA from 1 species